rnacentral:rRNA from 1 species
GAUGAACGCUGGCGGCGUGCCUAAUACAUGCAAGUCGAGCGAACAGACGAGGAGCUUGCUCCUCGGACGUUAGCGGCGGACGGGUGAGUAACACGUGGAUAGCCUACCUAUAAGACGGGGAUAACUUCGGGAAACCGGAGCUAAUACCGGAGAAGAUAUUGAACCGCAUGGGGCAAUAGUGAAAGACGGUGUUGCUGGCACGUAUAGAUGGAUCUACGCCGCAUUAGCUAGUUGGUAAGGUAACGGCUUACCAAGGCAACGAUGCGUAGCCGACCUGAGAGGGUGAUCGGCCACACUGGAGCUGGGCCACCGUCCAGGCUCCUACGGGAGGCCGCAGUAGGGAAUCUUCCGCAGUGGGCGAAAGCCUGACGGAGCAACGCCGCGUGAGUGAUGAAGGUCUUCCGAUCGUAAUGCUCUGUUAUUAGGGAAGAACAACUGUGUAAGUAACUAUGCACGUCUUGACGGUACCUAAUCAGAAAGCCACGGCUAACUACGUG